rnacentral:rRNA from 1 species
UGGGGAAUAUUGCACAAUGGGCGCAAGCCUGAUGCAGCAACGCCGCGUGAAGGAAGAAGGGUUUCGGCUCGUAAACUUCUUUAGGCAGGGACGAAUUUUGACGGUACCUGCAGAAUAAGCCCCGGCUAACUACGUGCCAGCAGCCGCGGUAAUACGUAGGGGGCAAGCGUUAUCCGGAAUGACUGGGUGUAAAGGGUGAGUAGGCGGCCAGGCAAGUCAUAUGUGAAAUCCCGAAGCUUAACUUCGGGACUGCAUAAGAAACUGUCGGGCUAGAGUACAGGAGAGGUAAGCGGAAUUCCUAGUGUAGCGGUGAAAUGCGUAGAUAUUAGGAAGAACACCAGUGGCGAAGGCGGCUUACUGGACUGAAACUGACGCUGAGUCACGAAAGCGUGGGGAGCGAACA